rnacentral:lncRNA from 10 species
CUCCAACACUGCUCUCAUCACCUAUAUACUCUUCUCUCUGCCCGUCUCUGCUUCCCCCCCCUUCCCCCCCCCCUUUUCUCCCGGCCGACGGAGCUGAAGGGGCGGGGGUUCCUUCCUUGGAGUGUUUCUAGAGCUCGGAGGCUGCUGGUAGGGGGAAGUUGUACCCGUCAGCACCUGCUGAGGGCUUUGUUGUCCAAACCCUGACAGGUAAAAAAAUUCCUGCAGAAUAAAGCCAGACCAGCUGGCUUUGAAGAGAAACCCCCCAGUUUGGGCUGCGUUUGCCUCCUCUCCUUUUCUAUGAAGACCGAGGCUUUGCCCCCUUGAUCGUCAAGCCGUGAGAUGCGUGAUCUCUCUGCACAAGUGUCUGGCAGGCCGAGGUGCACCUGUUUCUGUCACUCUGGAGUAAAUUUAGCUGUAAAGGGCACCACUUUCAGAUAAAAACAUAGACCUGAAUGGCAUCAUCCAGUAUCCAAGGAAACCAUGUUCUCUAAACAUGAAUAUGCCUUUGGGGGAAGACAGAAGAACAUGGAAGCCAUGUGAAAAAAACGGAUCCUAAGGCAGUUUUGAACAUCUGGAGGCCUGAUUUAUUGGAGAUUGCAAAUGUACAGUGUAACAUAGCUGUGGAGAGCGAGAAGAUCAGGAUUGUCAAUGCUGUCAUUGCUUUUACUGGAAUCCCCAGCACGAAUUGAAGGUCUCACUUUGCCACCUAGGCUGGAUGCAAUGCAACGGUAUGUUGAUCUUGGUUCACUGCAGCCUCAACCUCCUGAGCUCAUGUGAUCCUCCCACCUCAGUCCCCCACGUCGCUUGGAUUACAGGCCUGUGCCACCACACCUGGCUAACUUUUUUUGUAAUUUUUGUAGAGACAGGGUCUCACUAUGUUUCCCAUGCUGGUCUUUAAUGCCUGAGCUCAAGCCAUCCGCCUGCCUCGGCCUCCCAAAUUGCUGGGAUUACAGGCAUGAGCCACCAUGCCCAGCCUAAUUCUUCUAAAUCUUAUCCUAGUAAUUAAGCCAGAAUUUUUCUCUGCCAAGACCAAUAGAUGGACCAAGAAGUACUCAUCCUUGUAAACUUUCUUUGGAUAAAUUGCUUACAUAUAAUAAAUUCAGAGUUAAGUAAUAAAAAUAAUGAACUACUGUCUUG